rnacentral:rRNA from 1 species
AUGGAUCAUGGAUGGAUCGGUCGUGUUCUUGUUGUAUUCGGGGCUGGAACUGGAAAAAGGGGUCGAGCAGCCCCACGGGGUGAAAUGAAAUCCUGUGGCGUGGAAUGGACGGGAAUUGUGCUCUGUCUGCAUUUAUGUGUGGUGCACGAGGCGGUGGCAGUGGCAGCGGCUGAUGAAUUGCUGCUGCUGCUGCUGCAGGAUAUCUCAUCUCAGGGACGCAAGCACAAGCACAACCAGCACGUCCCAGAACUAUGGGGGUGCAUGGCGGUGUUCAAACAUCGAACGGGAAUCUCCACCUGCACGAGUACGAAAGAAUGGCAAGAUGAUUAA